GAGUUUGAUCUUGGCUCAGAUUGAACGCUGGCGGCAUGCCUUACACAUGCAAGUCGAACGGCAGCACGGGAGCUUGCUCCUGGUGGCGAGUGGCGAACGGGUGAGUAAUGCAUCGGAACGUAUCCUGGAGUGGGGGAUAACGUAGCGAAAGUUACGCUAAUACCGCAUAUUCUGUGAGCAGGAAAGCGGGGGACCUUCGGGCCUCGCGCUCUUGGAGCGGCCGAUGUCGGAUUAGCUAGUUGGUGAGGUAAAGGCUCACCAAGGCGACGAUCCGUAGCAGGUCUGAGAGGAUGAUCUGCCACACUGGAACUGAGACACGGUCCAGACUCCUACGGGAGGCAGCAGUGGGAAUUUUGGACAAUGGGGGCAACCCUGAUCCAGCCAUGCCGCGUGAGUGAAGAAGGCCU
rnacentral:rRNA from 14 species